rnacentral:lncRNA from 1 species
CCAUUUCUUGGGCCACUCUCGCGGCAUAUGGAGGUUCCUAGGCUAGGGGUGGAAUCAGAGCUGUAGCCACCGGCCUAUGCCAGAGCCACAGCAACGCGGGAUCUGAGCCGCAUCUGCAAUCUACACCACAGCUCAUGGCAACGCUGGAUCCUUAACCCACUGAGCAAGGGCAGGGAUCAAACCGGCAACCUCAUGGUUCCUAGUCAGAUUUGUUAACUACUGAGCUAUGACGGGAACUCCUCUCAUGGGGUAUGCUGUGUGAUUGGUUAGGGCAGCAUAUUUAGCUGGUUGAUACUGAUUUGGAAAUGGGGGCAAAACAUUAGAAAGCUAGUCUGAUAUUCUGGGCCAAUUGCUGAAGAGGUUGCGUUUUGGCUUCUUGGGUUGGUUGGAAGGGUUGUGGGUAAGAAUUGAAUCUUCGUAUAGGUCUGGCCAUUGUCUCACUACCCAUAAAGCAAGGAUAUUAUUGAAUCUAGAGGACAAGUUGCCACGUCUGCUUCAGCUUUCCUUCCUUCCUUUCUUCCUUCCUUCCUUCCUUCCUUCCUUCCUUCCUUCCUUCCUUCCUUCCUUUCUUUCUUUCUUUCUUUCUUUCUUUCUUUCUUUCUUUCUUUCUUUCUUUCUUUCUUUUCUUUCUGCACCUGCGGCAUAUGGAGUUUCCCAGGCUAGGGGUCGAAUUGGAGCUGCAGUUGCCAGCCUUCACCACAGCCAUACCAACAUGGGAUCCUAGAUGAGUCUGUGACCUAUAUCACAGCUCACAGCAAUGCGGAAUCAUUAACCCACUGAGUGAGGCCAGGGAUUGAACCUGAGUCCUCACAGAUACCAGUGGGUUCGUUACCAUUGUGCCACAAUGGGAACUCCCUGCUUUCACUUGCUUCUGAAGUUACUCAGCCUCAGUCUCCACUGUGGGUGGUAUUGCUGCAACCUUAGCAAUUCUGAGAGGUCAAAUGUCUAAUAUUCUCUUUUUUCAACUAAAGGUCUCAGCAAGAUGCCAACUGCAGCACAUGAAGUAAUGGAUAGAGGACCUCACCUUUUAACUGCCUGGUUACCAUGGACCAAUGACAUUCUUGGUGGCAUCUGCACCCUGUCCAAAAUAUGCGAAUCUCCCACUUUAUGGGGCAGAACCUUCAUCUUAUCAUAGAAGAUUAAAACACUAAGGACUCACUUUCCAGCCUCCCUUGCAACCAGGGUAUGGCUGUGACCCAGGUUUUGCCAACUGAACACACCUGUAAAAGCCUUAAAUUCCCUCUUUAUGUAGAUGCAAAAAUUCCAUGAUGUAUUCUAUUUCCUAUUAUCUAUACUUUCUGAUAUUUUAUAGUAGGAACCAGAAAAAAUGAGGAGAAACAAGGGAAGGAAGAAAGGAGAAAAAAAGAGUCAGUGGAACUUGACAGAGGUAGGAAAGCAGAACUGGAAGUAGAGAGUGAACAGGAUGUGAAAUAACAGGAGUCAGCUGAGUGAGGUAAGGUAUGUCAAAGAAGUCGUUUUGGGGACAUAACUGUUGUAUUAGAUCUAAAGAAGAUUUGAUUGAUAUCAAAGAGUAGAAACGAUAUUCUGGGUAAAGGAGAAAGAAAAAAAAUAGUAGAAAUUGUGACGUGGUUCACCCUCUUGUUUUCUGCAGGAUCAUACUUAAUCUAUGCUAGCCAAAAUCAUUUCUUUUUUUCUUUUUUAAAAAAGGCAUCCAAAGGAGGAUAAUUAAGACUCCUCAAUUCUAAAAGUUUCAGGACCCACAGAUAUUUGGUUGUCAACAAGAUGAUUUAUGUUUUUCCUAAAGUUCUAAUAUCUAUUGAGAAGUUUUAUCCUCCUUACUCAAAUAUACACCUUUAAAAUUGUCUAUAGUGAUAUCUUCUGUUUAUUUAUGUCCAUUCUUCAAAUUAUACUUUAAUCUGGGUGGGGCAUUUCAUUAAGUGCUAUUUUAUAGCUUACUGUGAAAUGUCAAUCAUUUAUUCAUUAAGCAGUAUAGAUAUGUUGGUAUGAAUAUAUUAAUUCAUAAAAGAAUAACCUAAGUUUAUUGAUACAUUGUUGACAAAUGACUUUAGUACCAUACAUUCUCAGGUUUAGUAAUCACAUAAGUAGGGAUAGAAUAAGAAAAAUAUUGACAGGUCCUAUACACUUACGAAAAGCAAGGAGCUAAAAUACAAACCUGCUCCCAAUAUGGAAGAAAACCACAGUCCUCAAUUCCCCUUUUAACAGUGUUCAUGCUUUUAGAGUUGAGCAUAAUCAAGUUCUAAUGUCUUUUUAACCCACACCUCCCUUCACAUUCUCUCCAUAUGUAAGAUUGGGGUUUCACUGAGUCCAAAGGGACUUGAGAAGCUAGGGAAUGAAAGAACUGCAGUGGGUUAGUACAUUUUCCCUAAAGUUCCAACAUGUGGGUCACACUUUGAAAUUUCAACUGGAAUAAUGUUGAGGAAGAGUUGAUAAAUAAUACGUAUUGAACAAAUGUUACUUUGUUGAGGAACUAUUGUCAUUAUGAUGAUGUAACUUUUCCUCUCUGUAAGAGCAAAUAAAAAAGAACUGUUUAAUUUGUAUGGGGAGAAAUUUAGCUCUUAAUGGAGAAAAUCCUGACACUGAAACAAAGGAAUAAUAGAUAUAACAUUAGAGAUGAUUUGCUAGGCUUUGUCAGUGAAGGUUAUAGUAGGUUGGGAGUAAGGGGGAAAGACUGGAAAUUCUUGCUUGUAUCUACUUAUUAAUUCGGUUCUUUCCAAUCUCUUUGAUGUUAAUUGCAUUAAUCAGAAAAUUAAAUCACAUUGACUAUGGCUACCCAAAUAUAUUUUGGUGUGUAUACAUGUAAGUCAACACCAGUAGUUACAAGGAUGACUUGCAAUGAAGGAAAAAUUCACUCUAAGGAAAAAGCAAAUUAUUAAGAGGAACCAAAAAAUAGGCUUUCUACACUUGCGAGACCGUAUCUGCCUAGAAAUUGAAAUGAAAUUGAUUAAAAUACUCAUUCACAGACACAUAGAAAUUAAAAAAAUUCUUUUAACAUGUCCUAUUAGACUAGAACAAAAUGUGCUUGUAGCUCUGUUGCUACCAUAUUCACUCACUACUAUUAAAUAUUUCAUUUGAUGAUAUCUUAAAAGAAACAAUUGUGUUAGCUUAAAAAAAAAAAAUCUCUGAGGAGUUCUUGUCAUGGUGCAGUGGAAACGAAUCUGGCUAGGAACCAUGAGAUUGCAGGUUUGAUCCCUGGCCUUGCUCAGUGGGUUAAGGAUCUGGCAUUGCCAUGAGCUGUGGUAUAGCUUGCCGACUCGGCCACAUCUGGUGUUGCUGUGGUCUAGGCUGGCAGCUGUGGCUCUAACUAGACCCCUAGCUUGGGAAUCUCCAUACACCCCGGGUGCAGCCCUGAAAAGCCAAAAAAAAAAAAAAAAAAAAUCACUGAGUCAGAAAUUGUGAUUAAGGGUAUGAUUCAGAUUGCCUUUGGAGACUAUUUGGGUCAUCUAAGUUUAUCUAUGAUGGGUAACAUUAAGUUCUAAGACAAAUGUGUUUAUACCUUCAAAAACAGAGGAAACAUUUUCAAAUCUCUAAUAUUUUAAUUUGGUAAAAAAAAUCAUAUUUUAGACUGGUCUUAAGUUUAGCAAAUAAAUGUAAUUUGUUCAAAAUCUUGUUUCAUGGUUCAGUUCUGUUCAAGCCACUCAUAUGCAUGACCUAAAGCUGCAGUGAAAGAAUUACUCUUGCAGAAAAAAAGUCAGAAGGGGAAGAUUUAUCAUGAAUAAUUUAUAUUGAAACAAGAUUAUAAAACUGAUGUGUUAUCUUUAUACUAAUGCUGAGAAAAAUGUAUAAUCAAAGUAAUAAAAAAAACCCUGACCAGUUCAGAGUUAUUAAAACCUGGGAAUACUUAAUAGCAAAUUCCACAUAAACAAAAGGAGCUUCAGGAUCCUAUCCACUUCAGUUGAGCCAAUUUUAAGACUAAUUUGUUUCUGAAGCAAGGCAAAUUGUUUUGAGCAUAUCAGCACUGGAUGGUCACAAUGUGAUCACAAUGUUGUGUUGACUUCAUAGUCCAAUCCUCUUCUGCUCACUUGUCUCUUUUACUUCUUCUCUUCUAAUAUAGUCUUUGAAAGCUUUAUACAGAAAAAAAAUGAGGAGGGCAAUGCAGAGAAAAUGAUUUUCUGAAAUUUCCCUUCAAAAUGGACAUCCAAAAGGGAAGAGAGAAUAUAUGUGAAUACAAUCUAUUAUGAAGGAAGUCAUCACUGAUUAUGAUAAAUACUAUUUUUGAGGACAUGAAAUAAAAGAUGAUGUGAUUAGAUUUCUCUUCCAGUAAUGGCAGGUAUAUUGAAAGGAGCCUAGUAAAUAGACUAUAUAGCCUUAAAAUGUUUUAAAAAUAGUGUUAUAUGUGGUAUUUGUUUAUAUCAUUAUUUUUCUUUUGAAAAGCAUUUUUACUAUAGCUCUUUUUAUAAAUCCUCACAACCACUCUGUGAGUCGGGUGGGCCCUUCCUUUCGGUCUCCUGAGGGUAGAUGGAGAAGUUGGGAUAGGCCCCUGCCAGGGCUGCCGCGGGACAGUGGGGUCCUUCGCAUAUCAGGGCACCAGCCCUCCCCGCUCCCAGCUCGGCUGAUACCGGCCUCUGGGAUCUCACAGUCAGCGAGGGGAGAGGCUGCGGAGAGCGACUGCUCCCCCCGCGGUCCCUCCUCCAACAGCUGAGUCCUGCCCACCUUCUGCAGGGGCGGGGGUGGGGUGGGGUGGCAGCAGUUCUGGGGAGUGUAAGGGUCCGCGAUGAGACGGUGGUCGUGGGCACUGGCUUUGUGGCGUCAGAGUGACUGGGUUUGAAUUUGAAUCUCCAGACCUUUUUUUACGGUGCCUGACUUAAGGCAGUCACUCAAUUUCCUCAUCUGGAGAGAGGACAUCCUUUGAUUUAUCCCAAGGGGUUCACUGACUUAAAAUAGUCAACGAUUUAAAGCAAUGAAGGUCUUAGUCUACUGCCCCUGCCGAAGAAAAUGCUACAAAUAUUAUCAGUUCUGGGAUAGGUAGGUCACUAUCUCUACUACUUUGGGGCAUCUCCAGCUGCAAAAUGGGCGCAAUGUAGAUUGCAGUCUUUUAAUGGCACACAUUACUUUGCCAACAAUCAAACAAACCAGAGAAAAACAAAACCCCUCACCAUCCCUCCUCUCCUUCCUGCUCUGGAGCCACUCAGUUUUGACACUUGUUUCCGGGAUCUGAAGGAGCUGGAUCCUAACCCAAGGAAAUAUUCUUUUUUACGUUUUUAUUUUUUAUUAAAGCCGCGUUGAUCUACAAUUGUGCCAAUAUCCCUGUACAGCAAAGCGACUCAGUCAUAUAUAAAUUCUUUUAAAAAUAUUGUUUUCCAUCACGGUCUACCUCAGGAGAUUGUAUAUCAGUAAACACUGUUAUUAACUAGGAAAACAGAAAAGUGAGA